GUGCUCAUGUUAGCAGCACAUACACUAAAAUUGGAUGGAUACAGAAAUUAGCAUGACCACUUCUCAAGGAUGACACCUAACUUCGUAAAUUCAUGAAAUGUUCC
ensembl:snRNA U6 U6 spliceosomal RNA